rnacentral:tRNA from 1 species
GCCCGGAUGGUGAAAUUGGUAGACACAAGGGACUUAAAAUCCCUCGGCGCAAGCCAUGCCGGUUCGAUUCCGGCUCCGGGCACCA